AAAACUUUGUCUUGUCUUCUACGUGCAACAGCAUAAUGCUUCAAUCAUAACCUAACCUAUGCCUUACAAUUAAAAUCUUCCUUUUUUGUUUCAGGUGCAUGAAAUGAGAGGAACCCAUGGAACACUGUCUACUCAAAACUACUUGAAUCAUCCGACCAUUGCAGGAUGAGCCUAUUGAUUUGCUGUAGGCGUAAUCAUGGGACAGGUGCUAUGCAGACAAACUGGCGCAGUGCCGAGUGGAGAGACUGCCAGCCCUAGCUGAACUGGACUAACAUUGAUGUACUAAUUUGGACUGAAUUGAAGGUCACACAAGAUAUCAUCCCAGCGUAAAUGUGGACACAAUGACCGGACAGUGUCAUCGGUGCUGCAGCAACUAUAUUGGAGUAUUUUCC